rnacentral:rRNA from 1 species
CCUACGGGAGGCUGCAGUAGGGAAUAUUGCUCAAUGGGGGAAACCCUGACCCAGCAACGCCGCGUGGAGGAUGAAGGUAUUCGUAUUGUAAACUCCUUUUGUUAGAGAAGAUAAUGACAGUAUCUAACACCUAAGCACUGGCCCCCUCCGUGCCAGCUGCCGCGGUAAGACGGAGGGGGCAGGCGUUACUCGGAAUCACUGGGCGUAAAGCGUGAGGAGGCGGGAUAGGAAGUUAGAUGUCAAAUCCUAUGGGUUAAACCUAGAAGUGCAAUUGCAACUGUUAUUCUAGAGUAUGGGAGAGGUAGGUGGAAUUCUGGGUGUAGGGGUAAAAGCCGUAGAGAUCAAGAGGAAUACUCAUGGCGAAGGCGGCCUGCUGGAACAUAACUGACGCUGAUGCGCGAAAGCGUGGGGAGCAAACAGGAUUAGAUACCCGUGUAGUC